rnacentral:rRNA from 1 species
UGGGGAAUAUUGGACAAUGGGCGAAAGCCUGAUCCAGCCAUGCCGCGUGUGUGAAGAAGGUCUUCGGAUUGUAAAGCACUUUAAGUUGGGAGGAAGGGCAGUAAGCGAAUACCUUGCUGUUUUGACGUUACCGACAGAAUAAGCACCGGCUAACUCUGUGCCAGCAGCCGCGGUAAUACAGAGGGUGCAAGCGUUAAUCGGAAUUACUGGGCGUAAAGCGCGCGUAGGUGGUUCGUUAAGUUGAAUGUGAAAGCCCCGGGCUCAACCUGGGCACUGCCUCCCACACUGGCGAGCUAGAUUAUGGCAGAGGGUGGUUGAAUUUCCUGUUUAGCCGUCCAAUGCGUUGAUAUCGCCAUGACCCCCCGUUGCGCCGGCCACCCCCUGGCCUCCUUCUGCCCCUGCGGUGCGCCCGCGUUGGUAGCCAACCGG